CCAAUCCUGUGCGGUAAGGUUUAGUCAACCACCGGAAGCGAGUCUUGCGUAGUAGGCAGUAAUGCCUGCACGAAGCGUAGACAGCGACUGCUGAGGGUGUGCUAUUGUUUGUAAUAUUAUCCUGUUAUAAGGAAU
rfam:Niastella yeongjuensis strain 17621 contig30, whole genome shotgun sequence.